AGCAGCAGCCGCGGUAAUACGAAGGGGGCUAGCGUUGUUCGGAAUUACUGGGCGUAAAGCGCACGUAGGCGGAUAUUUAAGUCAGGGGCGAAAUCCCGCAGCUCAACUGCGGAACUGCCUUUGAUACUGGGUAUCUUGAGUAUGGAAGAGGUUAGUGGAAUUGCGAGUGUAGAGGUGAAAUUCGUAGAUAUUCGCAGGAACACCAGUGGCGAAGGCGGCUAACUGGUCCAUAACUGACGCUGAGGUGCGAAAGCGUGGGGAGCAAACAGGAUUAGAGACCCCCGUAGUCCCUGUCUCUUAUAC
rnacentral:rRNA from 1 species